rnacentral:rRNA from 1 species
UACUUGCUAGUUACCAUCAUUAAGUUUGGGGACUCUAGCGAGACUGCCAGUGAUAAACUGGAGGAAGGUGGGGAUGACGUCAAAUCAUCAUGCCCCUUAUGACCUGGGCUACAAACGUGAUACAAUGGCUGGAACAAAGGGAUGCGAAGCAGUGAUGUGGAGCGAAACCCAUAAAAACAGUCUCAGUUCGGAUUGAAGUCUGCAACUCGACUUCAUGAAGUCGGAAUCGCUAGUAAUCGCGGAUCAGAACGCCGCGGUGAAUACGUUCUCGGGGUUU